AAAAUGUACAAUGUGUAAUAGAGGCUAAACAAAUAGUAGUAAUUAUUACAACUAACAAGUAAAUAUAACAGUUCGUUCCAAGGAGCAUAAAAACCAAGGACCACUUCUUUCGGACUCCACUACCCAGAAUGCCUUUUGGUGAAAUUAAAAGAAGCCAUUGCACAGGUGCAAGGCUUAAAGAAGAAGCAGAAAGCACCUUUGUGAAAAUUCAAGGAAGGCACUCCUUACUCUGAAUAGAAGCAGCACAAAAGAUACCAUUGUUAGGUCACAUGAAAAGACACCUUUAUCAUUUGUUCCCCACAUCAUAACAGAUCAUCACUACCAUCUGUUGAUAGUUAUCUGAGUUGCAAAAAAGUCAAUGUGGCAGCAAGCACAACCUGAACUAAAGCCAGAGGGAGAAUUGUCAGCAUCUCAUGAGAUUCAAGGUAUUUCUGAGCCACGCAAACCAAGAAGAGAUAAUUUCAAGAAGUGUAAAAUACAAGAGAAAUGUAAGCCAAAGUUGUUUAAUGUCACUGCUCUACCUCUUGAAUGUAAUCUUUGAUUUGAUGGAAAACUACUGAUUUAUCCACUGUCUCCAUGUAAGAAUGAAUAUGAUAGCAACCACUAGUGAAACCUGGAAAAUAAAGAUAAGAGAAGGCUCUGAACAGAGCUAUUCACUGGGGAAACAAACCUAUUCCUAUGCAGUUAGUAGAGGUCUAAUUGAAGAAAAGCCAUUCUUACAGAGGAAACAGGCAAACGUUUAUUACAAAACGGACUAUGUAUUUUGAUUAUCAGCUUAAAAGAAAGAUUAAUGUUAUUUUCAAUCCCCACCACUUUAAAAAUAAUUCUGUAUAAGCAUUAAAUGCCAUUUCUAAGCCUUUUAAAUCAAGAUUGCUUGGAUUUCAUACUAGAAGAAGAAAAUGAAUGUUAAAGUGGAAAACAAUUCCCUGAAAGGUGGAAACUCUUAUGGCACUGAAAUAACAGACAAUUGCAUAAUGCAUUUCAGCUCCCGAGAACUCUACC